rnacentral:tRNA from 1 species
UCCCUCAUGGCUCAGUCGGUAAAGAGUCUGCCUGCAAUGCAGGAGACCCGGGUUUGAUCCCUGGGUUGGGAA